GCCCCUUUGACGUUAGCGGCGGACGGGUGAGUAACACGUGGGUAACCUACCUAUAAGACUGGGACAACUUCGGGAAACCGGAGCUAAUACCGGAUAAUAUGUUGAACCGCAUGGUUCAAUAGUGAAAGAUGGUUUUGCUAUCACUUAUAGAUGGACCCGCGCCGUAUUAGCUAGUUGGUGAGGUAACGGCUCACCAAGGCAACGAUACGUAGCCGACCUGAGAGGGUGAUCGGCCACACUGGAACUGAGACACGGUCCAGACCCCUACGGGAGGCAGCAGUAGGGAAUCUUCCGCAAUGGGCGAAAGCCUGACGGAGCAACGCCGCGUGAGUGAUGAAGGUCUUAGGAUCGUAAAACUCUGUUAUUAGGGAAGAACAAACGUGUAAGUAACUGUGCACGUCUUGACGGUACCUAAUCAGAAAGCCACGGCUAACUACGUGCCAGCAGCCGCGGUAAUACGUAGGUGGCAAGCGUUAUCCGGAAUUAUUGGGCGUAAAGCGCGCGUAGGCGGUUUUUUAAGUCUGAUGUGAAAGCCCACGGCUCAACCGUGGAGGGUCAUUGGAAACUGGAAAACUUGAGUGCAGAAGAGGAAAGUGGAAUUCCAUGUGUAGCGGUGAAAUGCGCAGAGAUAUGGAGGAACACCAGUGGCGAAGGCGACUUUCUGGUCUGUAACUGACGCUGAUGUGCGAAAGCGUGGGGAUCAAACAGGAUUAGAUACCCUGGUAGUCCACGCCGUAAACGAUGAGUGCUAAGUGUUAGGGGGUUUCCGCCCCUUAGUGCUGCAGCUAACGCAUUAAGCACUCCGCCUGGGG
rnacentral:rRNA from 1 species